rnacentral:misc_RNA from 1 species
GAUGAAGAACGCAGCGAAAUGCGAUAAGUAAUGUGAAUUGCAGAAUUCAGUGAAUCAUCGAAUCUUUGAACGCACCUUGCGCCCUUUGGCCAUUCCGAAGGGCAUGCCUGUUUGAGCAUCAUGAACACCUCAACUCUUCAUGGUUUUCCAUGAUGAGCUUGGACUUUGGGGGUCUUGCUGGCCUGUGGGUCGGCUCCUCUCAAAUGAAUCAGCUUGCCGGUUUUUGGUGGGCAUCACAGGUGUGAUAACUAUCUACGCUUGUGGUUUUCCACCAGGGUAACCUUCAGCAGUGGAGGUUCACUGGAGCUUACAAAUGUCUCUCCUCUGUGAGGACAGCCCUUUGAAUGUUUGAUCUCAAAUCAGGUAGGACUACCCGCUGAACUUAAGCAUAUCAAUAAGCGGAGGA